UUCAGUCAUGACCCCUACUGUACACAUCGACGACUUUAUUAAGUUAACUCCGAGGGGAGGGGAAGGGACAAUGCCUAGCCCUAGUCCUAGCCGGAUGACUUUGCUAAGUUUGAAAAUUACAGAAAGACAUAAAUUGCAUUUCUUUAAACGUGCUAUUCCGAAUCAGAAUGUCUCAAGAAUAUGGAGGUUUAUGUUAAAUGUAGGCUAAAUGUAAUGUAUAUAAAUGUAAUUUUUUAAUCGAUCCAGUAAUUGCUUCAAAACCAGCGUAAAUGUGAUGUCUGCUCCGGAGGCAGAAGCGCUCAUUGCCACAGGCAGCAGUCGAGAGCCCAGGCAGACAAAUGGGCAAGCAUUGUCGUGCAACCUAGUGGUUAGCCAUGCAGUCCAGAAUGCCAGCAACAUUGAUACCUCCAAAAUGUCUUGUCAGCCCAUGGAGAAAGAGGAUGCUUAAAAGCAGAAGAUUAGGAUGAGGAGGAGUAAGUCUGGAAAGGGUUCUGGCUCCAAGGGGGGUUCCCGUCCUGGGGGUGGAUCCUCCAUCGCUG